rnacentral:rRNA from 1 species
GUCUAUGGCCAUGCCACCCUGAACAAGCCCGAUCCUGUCUGAUCUUGGAAGCUAAGCAGGGUCAGGCCUGGUUAAUACUUGUAUGGGAGACCACCUAGGAAGACCAGGUGCUAUAGGUG